rnacentral:antisense_RNA from 1 species
CUAUUCCGGAAGCGUGUGCACAAAGUCCAACAAACAUACCAG